rnacentral:lncRNA from 1 species
GUCAGCCUUUCAUUGUUUUUGUCCCAUGUGACAAAAUAAAAUAAUGUGAUUUCUUCAGAGUUUCUGUAUAAAUCAAAAUAAUUUUCUUCAUGGGCUUGAUUUGAGGAACAGAGGUUGCAAUUAAGAGAAUUAAUGAAUGUUCUAUCAAGCUGUCAUGCUCAUAUAGGCUACUGGCAGCCUUAGGUAACCUCUGAAUGGGGAAGGACAAUUCAGCAUAGCUUUUCUUUGGAAGUACAGUGACUUUAAUAGUUGCCACAGCUUUGAGGUUUGAAGGAAUCUGAAUGAAUAUUUUAAGAAUUUUUUCUGCAAGACCUUCCCAGGAUAAAUUCUUCCCACUACUGAAGCUGAAAAUCCCACUGAUACUGAAAUCCCACUGAUACUGAAAUCCCGCUACAGUUUUGAAAUUAGCUGGUUUGAAAAGAGAUUUUCCAAGAUAACUGCCAUCACUGAAAGCAACCAGGAGCUGGAUCCUUUUUUUGCAUUGAAAAUGUCCCCUUACCAUCUAAGCUGAACUCCCAGACUGAGGUCUCAGCAUGCUCCUGGUGAAGCCAUGAAGAAUAAGCAAAUGGACAAAAGGACCACAACAUCUUAGUAGUCUUUUCAAUUAUAAAAAGUAAUGCUAAUAAUGCAUUGCUGACCUCUAACAACAGUGAUGAUCCACAGAAAAGUCUGAUUGUACUUGGUGCUCCAAUAGUACCAAAAGUUUAAGAAUGACUGCAGUGUUUGGUUAUUUCAUCUUCUCUUCCUAAAAGAGAUAUAUAGCUAAACCAAAGUUCCUGAGGAUACAGCAGCAGAUACAAGUAAAAUCUAUCUUUAAUGUGCCAGAGACCACAUAGAAGAAUGAUAUACCACCAUUCAGUAGGUGGUUCUUUGGGUCUUUAACAGUGAAGGAAGAGGUAAUGUGGCUGUGAUUUUACAGAUAAAAUUAUUCAGGGGAAAUUAUGUUGUUAUGCACUGUUCUUAAGAAAAGAUCCUAAGGAAAAUAUGUGGACGUUAGAGCACAAACAUAUCAAUUUCGCGUACUGCCUUGAAGGAGAUGAGUUUGAAGAUAUCUGAGCUGGUGCUUGGGAGGAUGGAACACAUAUCUUAUCUUUGAUAGUUUUGUGGUAUUCAUUAUUUUUUAGCCUUCCAAGAGUUGGAUUGUUCAAUGUCUCUGCA